rnacentral:rRNA from 1 species
AGUGAACGCUGGCGGUAGGCCUAACACAUGCAAGUCGAACGGCAGCACAGUAAGAGCUUGCUCUUACGGGUGGCGAGUGGCGGACGGGUGAGGAAUAAAUCGGAAUCUACUUUUUCGUGGGGGAUAACGUAGGGAAACUUACGCUAAUACCGCAUACGACCUACGGGUGAAAGCAGGGGAUCUUCGGACCUUGCGCGAUUGAAUGAGCCGAUGUCGGAUUAGCUAGUUGGCGGGGUAAAGGCCCACCAAGGCGACGAUCCGUAGCUGGUCUGAGAGGAUGAUCAGCCACACUGGAACUGAGACACGUUCCAGACUCCUACGGAGGGCAGCAGUGGGGAAUAUUGGACAAUGGGCGCAAGCCUGAUCCAGCCAUACCGCGUGGGUGAAGAAGGCCUUCGGGUUGUAAAGCCCUUUUGUUGGGAAAGAAAAGCAGCAGGUUAAUACCCCGCUGUUCUGACGGUACCCAAAGAAUAAGCACCGGCUAACUUCGUG